rnacentral:rRNA from 1 species
UUGGGCCUACGGGGGGCAGCAGUGGGGAAUAUUGCACAAUGGGGGAAACCCUGAUGCAGCGACGCCGCGUGAGUGAAGAAGUAAUUCGUUACGUAAAUCUCUAUCAGCAGGGAAGAAACGCUGACCUUACGGUCAGCAGACGGUACCUGAGUAAGAAGCCCCGGCUAACUACGUGCCAGCAGCCGCGGUAAUACGUAGGGGGCAAGCGUUAUCCGGAUUUACUGGGUGUAAAGGGAGCGUAGACGGCUAAUCAAGUCAGAAGUGAAAACCCAGGGCUCAACCUUGGGACUGCUUUUGAAACUGAG